CUCCAAAGUGUUGAGCACAGUUCAGGGUCACUUCCCUGAUCUGUUCAUUAAAUUGGCUAAAGGGGAAAGAUUAAACAGGGAGUGUUACUCCAUAUACUCCCUAGUGCACAC